rnacentral:lncRNA from 10 species
AAAAAAAAAAAAGGUUGUUAAGAAAAUCACAAGGAAGGAGGAAAAAAUAUAUUUCCUAUUCAUUAAGUGGAGGUGGAACAUCACAAAGGUCUUCAGCGUCACUGUCUUCACGUUGAGCAGGCCGAGGAGGAAGAAGAGGAGGGGUCGGUCUUGUCAUCUCAGGGGUGGCAGAGGCAGGAGAGAAUCCGUGGAUAAGUGGAUCUGUGCAGUUCAGAACCUGCUGUUCAAGGGUCAACUGGAGACCUGAAGGAUGAGAGGAAGUGGCCAUGCAGAUAUU